rnacentral:rRNA from 1 species
UACGUAGGGGGCUAGCGUUAUCCAGAAUUACUGGGCGUAAAGGGUGCGUAGGUGGUUUCUUAAGUCAGAGGUGAAAGGCUACGGCUCAACCGUAGUAAGCCUUUGAAACUGGGAAACUUGAGUGCAGGAGAGGAGAGUGGAAUUCCUAGUGUAGCGGUGAAAUGCGUAGAUAUUAGGAGGAACACCAGUUGCGAAGGCGGCUCUCUGGACUGUAACUGACACUGAGGCACGAAAGCGUGGGGAGCAAACAGGAUUAGAUACCCGGGUAGUCCCUGAG